UAUAUAUAUCUGUAUUAAUGUGGAUACCUUUUUCGGGUGUUUUUUUUGGGGGGGGGGGGGAAGGUUCGAGAAGGAUCAUGACGCUGCACAUCGGGUCAGGGUCGAGAAUUUCGCAAAGAUCGGCAGGAAAGAUAAUACGAUGGGUUUUCUCGGAGUUUUCAAAACUGCAGGUACUCGGUUACAUAACCCAUUCGGCAUGCGCUUGAAACCGUUAAAAAUAUACCCCACGGAAAUAUAAAAUAAUAUAUGAGAAUUCACCG